rnacentral:lncRNA from 1 species
GGUGCGUGCCUGUAAUCCUAGCUACUGGGGAGCCUGAGGCAGAAGAAUCACUUGAACCCUGGAGGCAGAGGGUCGCAGUGAGCCGAGAUAGCGCCACUGCACUCCAGCCUGGGCGACAGAGCGAGACUCUGAGACUCCGUCUGAGAAAAAAAAAAAAGCUACAACUCAGCUCUUCCAUGAAAGGCACUGACCAAAUUUCAGGUUAGAUAAAGCAGGGAGGAAGCGUUAGACAACACAGGAGUCAAGUGGUCAACGCUAAUGAAAGGACCUGCUCCUUCCUUCCAAACCCUUAUACAUUGCGGGUGAUGACUGGCGUAUACCAAGCUGUUUAAGUGCUUUUUAUUCCAGCCCUGGAUGGAUCAAGGAAUGGGGGAAUAUAAUGCUCUGAAUGUAACUGGGGCUUUUUUGUUUUGUUUUUGUUUUUUUUUUAGCUGGAGCCUGGCUCUUUCACCCAGGCUGGAGUGAAGUAGUGCAAUCUCUCAGCUCACUGCAACUUUCGCCUCCGGGGUUCAAGCGAUUCUCCUGCCUCAGCCUCCUGAGUAGCUGGGAUUACAGACUGGAUGCUGCCUGGUUUAUGAAUUGCCAAUAAAAGCCAAUCAGAUCUUUGAAACUUGGCCAGGGAUGGUGGCGCAAACCUGUAAUCCCUGCACUUUGGGAGGCCAAGUUGAGCAGAUCACCUGAGGUUAGGAGUUUGAGACCAGCUUGACCAACAUGGUGAAACCCCAACUCUACUAAAAAUACAAAAAUCAGCCAGGCAAGGUAGCAGGUGCCUGUGAUCCCAGCUACUCCAGAGGCUGAGGCAGGAGAAUGGCUUGAACCUGGGAGGCAGAGGUUGCAGUGAGCAAAGAUCACCACUACACUCCAGCCUGGGCGACAGAGUGAGAAUCUGUCUCAAAAAACAAAAAAUGAAAAACAAAAGCAAAACAAAACAAAAAAGAUCUUUGAAACUCAAUUUGUUGAAAUUUUGUUCUUUCUCACACCUCAUGUGUAAGUUUUAGUUGUGUUAAAUAAAACCAUAAAAACUCUGGGGAAAAAAAAAGAUUCAGAUUCCCGAAGCUCAGAGUUCCUUGUACAGGUGUUAACUGGCCCUAUUUACAUUAUCUUGUGGGGAGUGGGACUCGGGGAGCUGGCUCAAAAAAUUCAGACACUGUAGAUACUGCUAUUGCUG